UGCAGCUAUCAUGGACGAACACAGAACGGAAGCUGUCGAUCGCAUCUCUGAUCUACCUGAGCCAAUUCUUCAUCAUAUACUAUCUAAGGUUGAAGCAACAGAUGCAGCUCGAACUAGCGUCUUAUCCAAGGCCUGGAAAAGCAUAUAUGAUUCAUUUCCGGUGGUGGUUUUAGAUGAACUCUUCAUUGAAGAAUAUGUCAAAUCAUAUGAGCUCAGCAGUGAGGAAAGGCAGAAGUACCUGAGUAAUUUAGAGCAGUUCAGGACUCGUUAUAACGUGCAUAUACGAGGGGUUGGGGCUGAUGAGGAGAAAGGCAAAUUACUAGCGAUGAUGAUUAUCAGAGAGAAGUUCAUGUUGUUAUCAAACAAUUCGCUUAAGAGAAUAAAUCAGCAGAAAGAGUUGCUUAGCAUUAAAAAAUUCAGAUUUAGGAUUUUCCACCUGGAUGAUGAGUUUGCCUCUGUCAUUGACAAUUGGGUAGGAUUGGUAACAGAGAGAAACAUCGAAGAGCUAGAUAUAGAUCUCGGUUGCACAUUCUUACCAGUAUGUGAUUAUCCAAAACCAACAUACCAUUUGCCCCAAGC
rnacentral:lncRNA from 1 species